AUCAGGUCGGCAAUUAAUUCAUGGGGUAUGUAUUUUAUUUAAAGAUUGUAUUUCCUAAAACUCGGUUAAAUUCGGUGUUCAAUGUUUUAAUCGUUGAUAUAUUUUGUUCCAGCUUGGCCCAAAAUAUGAUUAACCUAGCUUCCUAUGCGCCGGUAAUGGCGGCAUAACCUUUUCACCUCUUUCAAACCAACUUGGUGAGUUGUCCACACUUUCUAAAUAUACGGAAGGAAAGGCGAAGUUGUUUAUUGUCAAUUGCAAUUAGCUAAUGUCGUGUUUUGGUGUGAUUUUCCAGCAAUUCCUUGACAAAGAUGAGACAUCAUCUUGUUUCACCGCGUGGGCCUACGUCGCCACGUCUGGUGUCUAAUAUAAGGGACUCGGCUUAGAAACCGGGUCCUUUUGGCUAGGCCAGUCCUUUGGCUAGGCCUACUUCUUGCCUUGGCUUGGCCCUUGGCUUGUGGAAGAUCUAGGGUGGUGUCGCACCAUGCUAGUUGAGAAGCCGUCUUCUCCACUUAAUUUUUGGACUCGAGGUGAAGUGUUUAUACGAUAAAACUGUGAGUUAAAAACUUAUAUUUACAUUAGUGACUGUGUUCCUUUGCUGGAAAGGAUAAACAAUAUUUAAGUCUGAAUUUCUUUUUAACGUGAACUUUCUACAUGGUAAAUUCUAUUAUUAAUAUGAAACCUGCAAUUCCUAUGUAGGAUUUUGUGUGUAUUACAGGCCCAAAUAUGCCUGAGAUGUACUUAAGUUAAAUUUAAUUAGUAAUAGUUACGGUACGUAAUUUAAAUGUUAAGUCUCGAGGCCGCAGCAGGUCUUAUUGUGAUGUAAAGUGAAUAAAAGUAUUUAGUAAAUAAA